rnacentral:tRNA from 1 species
GAUGGAGUGGCAGACUGGCUAUGUUACAGAUUGUAAAUCUGUUUAUGAAGGUUCAAAUCCUUUCUUUAUCA